GAUGAACGCUGGCGGCGUGCCUAAUACAUGCAAGUCGAGCGAACGGACGAGAAGCUUGCUUCUCUGAUGUUAGCGGCGGACGGGUGAGUAACCCGUGGAUAACCUACCUAUAAGACUGGGAUAACUUCGGGAAACCGGAGCUCAUACAGGAUAUUUUUUUGAACCGCAUGGUUCAAAAGUGAAAGACGGUCUUGCUGUGACUUAUAGUUGGAUCCGCGCUGCUUUAGUUAGUUGUUAAGGUAACGGCUUACCAAGGCAACGAUGCAUAGCCGACCUGAGAGAGGGAUCGGCAACACUGAAACGAAGACACGGUCCAAACUCCUACGGGAGGCAGCGGUAGGGAAUCUGCCGCAAUGGGCGAAAGCCUAACGAGGCAACGCCGCGUGAGUAAGGAGGGUCUUCGGUUCGUAAAACUCUGUUAUUGGGGAGAAACAUAUGUGGAAAUAACUGUGCACAUCUGGACGGUACCGAAUCAGAAAGCCACGGCUAACUACGU
rnacentral:rRNA from 1 species